AAUGACUUGGUCUCUAGCGAGGUAUAGAGUUCCUACGAAUUUGGUUCAUUCAUACCCAGUAGGAACUUCAUACCGUGCUCUUGACUGGGCUCAUAGA
rnacentral:pre_miRNA from 1 species